rnacentral:lncRNA from 1 species
AAUGCAAGGAGCUGAAGAUGGGAUCUUACCUGGGAGUUGCUGCAGCAUCUGAUAAUCCCCCUUAUUUCAUCCAUUUGUGCUACAAACCCCUGAGUGGACCUAUUAAAGCCAAGUUAGCAUUAGUUGGAAAAGGAUUGACUUUUGACAGGUAAUUUCAUAUGUACUUACUGGCAUAUACUAGUAAGAAGAUAUUUCAUGUUUUAGUCACGGUAGGAAAUAAAACAAGGAUAAAGACGAGAUGCCAUAAUAACGGGUUCUUCACUAAGUAUAUUUAUGCGCACAUCUCUAGUGUUACCACUAAACAUGGGAUCUCAUUUUCCCUUUUUUCACUUAUUUCUAUGUGCAGUCUAUUACACGAAUAAUUUGAACAAAAUUUCUUCCUAAUGCUAUUGGGAUCUUUCUAAAAUGAGUGGUUGGAAUACUACCUUUGUUCUUUUUUACCCUGGUGGGUAUGUAUACCAUAUAGGUUUUUAAUACUUGUCUUAAAUGUUCUUAGUGGUGGCUACAAUAUCAAGACUGGACCUGGUUGCUCAAUUGAUGUUAUGAAGAUAGACAUGGGAGGUUCUGCAGCAGUUCUUGGUUCAGCCAAAGCUCUCGGGCAAAUCAAACCUCCUGGAGUUGA